UGAACGCUGGCGGCGUGCUUAACACAUGCAAGUCGAACGGUAACAGAGGAGCUUGCUCCUGCUGACGAGUGGCGCACGGGUGAGUAAUGCAUAGGUAACGUGCCCCUUAGUCUGGGAUAGCCACUGGAAACGGUGAAUAAUACUAGAUACUCCUUUUUACUUAAUGUAAUUUGGGAAAGUUUUUCGCUAAGGGAUCGGCCUAUGUUGUAUCAGGUAGUUGGUGAGGUAAUGGCUCACCAAGCCUAUGACACAUAGCGGGUCUGAGAGGAUGAUCCGCCACACUGGUACUGAGACACGGACCAGACUCCUACGGGAGGCAGCAGUGGGGAAUAUUGCACAAUGGACGAAAGUCUGAUGCAGCAACGCCGCGUGGAGGAUGACACAUUUCGGUGCGUAAACUCCUUUUAUAUGAGAAGAUAAUGACGGUAUCAUAUGAAUAAGCACCGGCUAACUCC
rnacentral:rRNA from 1 species